rnacentral:lncRNA from 1 species
AUUUCGGAAUUUUUAGAUAAAAAUACAAUUUAUGAUAAAUGUCUAAAUAUUCGACGGUUUUGGCCAUAUGAAAAAUAGUAAAUGAAUUUUAAAAAUUCUGAGAAAAAUAUAUGUUCAAUAUGAGACUAUAUUCUGCUAAAUCUCAUAAAAGAAAUAUUUUUGGAACUGAUUUGGUAUUUUUCAUGAAAAUGGACUAGUUAUGAGUAAAUGAAUUAAAUAUGUUAUGUGAAGUAAGAAAAUUGGAAAAUAAGAUUUUAUGGCUUGAGAAUCCUAUAUGAGG